UUUACAUCUGAUGCCUUUGUUUGGAAGUUCUGCAUCACAGGUAAUAACAAUGAGGAUACUCACAAUCAUAAUGAUUUUCCAAAGAGUGGAUUACCCAGAGCGAGAUAUGUGAAGUCAGAUGGAAGUCCUGGUGAGGAUCUCCAGCUGCAGGGUUCUCUCCUGCUCAGACCCUCGAGCUUGGGAUUUAGUUGCAGACUCCACUGAGGCUUUGUGCAGAUUCAAGAGACCCCAGUGCAGAGACUUUGCAUUGAUCUGAAGGGAUGUUCAAAACCCAUCUCUGGUCCUCCAGGAACAAUAAUGACUCCUCCUACAGCGGAGGAUUCCAUGGAGCUAAUCGGAAGUAUCAAAAAAAAUUCAAACUUCUGGCUGGAGAAGGUCACCCAGAACUCAGCACCACUUCGGAGUUUUUCGGCUCCCACUAAAGAAACUUGUGCUGUGGACUCUUUUCCAUCAUGUGUCUGAUGCAAAGAUGUAUGCCUGUCUUGUGACCUGCUGUUGGAGGACAAAAGGAGGACUCGGAUCCCCCACUGACACCUUUAGAGCUGGAAACCAGUGAACUCUUACUUUCUUUCAAAAACCGUGCUCGGUGUGACUUGUUGAAAGUGCUUUGGUUAUAAAUUGAAACUGGGCUAAUUUGGAUUACCGUUGCUACAGCAUCUACCUAGACAGCAGUUCUUGAGCAUGAAGAGGAUCACUCCUAUUAACUAUGUUAAUACCAGCAUUAAAACAUCAGCUGGUAAUUUAUCCCCUUUCUCCAAUACCUACACAGCAGUCCAGUAAAUAUGCUUUGAUUAUCUGGAACAAGAAAAUGGGGCUGGGAAAAGGCAUAACUCUUUGAAGAAGGAAAAGAAACCAAAAAGAUUGGGGAAGAAGAAGCAGAAAAAAAAGGGAAGAAUCAGAAGAGACAUGGAAAAAGAGAAUCAGAAAAUCACAGAGGACUGAAAAGUAAGCAUAACUGAACUUGUAAUUUGGCUCUAAGAAUUCAUUCAUUCAAUUUAUUCCUCCCAAGUGUAGGAAACUUGGAUGGAAUGCCAGUAUCCAAAAAACUAUGUCCAGAUUUCAGGAAUGUUGGGCAAAAUGGAGAUCCACAGUUUUAGAACCACCUAAAAAAAAGUGCUUUUUUCAUUAUUGUUACUAAUGUUAGCCUUCUAUUUUGGUAUAUACAAAUAAUGAAUAUUUCAUGUCCACUAUUUAGAAAAUACUCAGUAUUUUUUACUAGCAGAAAACAAGACAAGAUGGUACAAGUUCUAAUAGUCAAGUAGUAAGAAAAUUACAAGACUGAAGAAAAAAUGAGAAGAUUGAGAAUCCUGAGAAAAGGAAAUUAUUUUAAGAAUUUUAAUAAUUAGAAAGCAGUCUGAAAUGUUCAUGUAUUCUUUUUUGCUAUAUUCAACACAAAUCUAGCAUAACUGAUUACUUACCACAUUCACACAUUAUCAUUAACAACACUGGGGACCAGAGAGAUGAAUUAUUCAAGUAAAAAUUGCAUAAAUAGACUCUUGAAGACAUUGUUUUUUCAUAUCUUUCUCUAAAAGUAGCAAUUCUCUUAUUCUUACUACUCUUUUAAAUAAAAAAUUUAGUAGGAAAAGGAAAAAAAAAUCUCAGAAUAAUUAGUGAAGUCAACUUAAUG